rnacentral:RNase_P_RNA from 1 species
GACAGAGGGAGCCCGACUCCCGUGCCGUUGGCAUGAGGAAAGUCCCCCCACCGGCCGGACGGGCGACCGGGCACACGCUCGGAGUCGGAGACGGCUGGCUCUGGAACAGCAACGACACCCCCCACCUCGACCCGUGAUUCGUGCGAACCGACCCGUAAGGGAAGGGAGCUAACCCGAUGAGGUUCGACGGGUGGGAACGGAUGGAACGGCGAAUCCUCGCCGGUGCAAGUCCGCGGCCAUUAGGUAGUCCGGCCACGGCCGCAGACGCUGAGCCGAAUGUCGGGACGAACCGAAGGGGGCUUACUCCCCUCAGUC